AUACGGAGGAUCCGAGCGUUAUCCGGAUUUAUUGGGUUUAAAGGGUGCGCAGGCGGGAGAUUAAGUCGGCGGUGAAAUUUUGCAGCUCAACUGUAAAAGUGCCUUCGAAACUGGUUUCCUUGAGUGUAGAUGAAGUAGGCGGAAUUUGUGGUGUAGCGGUGAAAUGCAUAGAUAUCACGAGGAACUCCGAUUGCGCAGGCAGCUUACUAAACUACUACUGACGCUCAGGCACGAAGGCGUGGGGAUCAAACAGGAUUAGAUACCCUGGUAGUCCACGCAGUAAACGAUGAUUACUAGCCGUUUGCGAUACAAUGUAAGCGGCUGAGCGAAAGCGUUAAGUAAUCCACCUGGGGAGUACGUUCGCAAGAAUGAAACUCAAAUGAAUUGACGGGG
rnacentral:rRNA from 1 species